UCCUCUUUAGCUCAGUUGGUUAGAGCACCUGACUGUUAAUCAGGGGGUCCUAGGUUCAAGUCCUAGAAGGGGAGCAA
rnacentral:tRNA from 1 species